GAUUCCGAGCGCCUCCACUGCUGGUCCGUUGGCCAGAUCAACUCGCCGCGUGGGCCGGCCGUUCCCUGAGAGUCGGAGCGUUCGCCGCACCCCCUUCCGAGCUUCUAUUGGCCGUAGCAGACGUCCGUCUGCCGCUAUCUCCGCCCCAAUACGGAAGCGGCCUAGUCCUCCGGCUCCGACAGCUGGGUGUCCAGGCCAUGGGGCAGCACUGGGCGUCUGGGAGCACGGACGGGGCGCCCGCGCAGCUGCCUCUCGUGCUCACCGCGCUGUGGGCCGCGGCCGUGGGCCUGGAGCUGGCUUACGUGCUGGUGCUCGGUCCCGGGCCGCCGCCGCUGGGACCCCUGGCCCGGGCCUUGCAGCUGGCGCUGGCCGCCUUCCAGCUGCUCAACCUGCUGGGCAACGUGGGGCUCUUCCUGCGCUCAGAUCCCAGCAUCCGUGGCGUGAUGCUGGCCGGCCGCGGUCUGGGCCAGGGCUGGGCUUACUGCUACCAGUGCCAAAGCCAGGUGCCGCCACGCAGCGGACACUGCUCUGCCUGCCGCGUCUGCAUCCUGCGUCGGGACCACCACUGCCGCCUGCUGGGCCGCUGCGUGGGCUUCGGCAACUACCGGCCCUUCCUGUGCCUGCUGCUUCAUGCUGCCGGCGUCCUGCUCCACGUCUCUGUGCUGCUGGGCCCUGCACUGUCGGCCCUGCUGCGAGCCCACACGCCCCUCCACAUGGCUGCCCUCCUCCUGCUUCCCUGGCUCAUGUUGCUCACAGACAAUCCAUGUCCUGCCACAGCUCUGACCACCACAAAGAGGAGUCCUCAGUGUCCACGCUCAAUAUUGUGCAUGUGUCUCCAGCAGCUUAGUGAACACCCUCGCCUGCCUCCUGCUCAUCUCCACAGGGAGGUCCCAUCAACACCUCAGGCUCAACGCUGCGGAAACCAGCCUCAUGGUCCUGCCUCCGUCACUGCCUCCCUGUCCAUCAAGUCACCUAGGUCCACCCCUCACAUCUCACCGUUUGCAGGAUCACAUGACUCUUCCCCAAGCCACCUCCAGGGCCCACCCCGCCCCCACCCCACUGUCCCUCCUCUUCCAGACUGGGCACCUCGGUCCCCCAGGCUGGCUUCGCUCUUCCGUUUAUGUGUGAAGUGGCUUCUGCCAUUCAGGAGUUUCACAUUUUAUGUGCUUUUUCUCUAGUACUUUUACAAUUUAUUUUUAAUCUAUCCAGAAUUAAUUUUUGUGGCUGGUAUGAAGAAAAGGUCUGAUUUUCUUCCUUUUUUUUUUUUUUUUUUUGAGACAGAGUUUCACUCUUGUUACCCAGGCUGGAGUGCAAUGGCGCGAUCUCAGCUCACUGCAACCUCUGCCUCCCGGGUUCAAUCGAUUCUCCUGCCUCAGCCUCCCGAGUAGCUGGAAUUACAGGCACGCGCCGCCAAGCCUGGCUAAUUUUUUGUAUUUAGUAGAGACGGGGUUUCACCAUGUUGGUCAGGCUGGUCUCGAACUCCUGACCUCAGGUGAUCUGCCCACCUCGGCCUCCCAAAGUGCUGGGAUUACAGGUGUGAGCCACCGCACCUGGCCGAAAAGGUCUAAUUUUCUUUUCUAGAAGCAAGUUGUCCUGAUUGUGUGUUUUUGGACAGUCUCACAUUUCCCUGCCAAUUCAAAAUGACACCUUUCACACACUCUGACUUUCCACAUGUUCAGGGUCAGUUUCUGGACUUCCUAAUCCUGCCCCGAUCUCCAUUCUAUUUCUGCAUCCACACCACAGCUUCUGAUUCCCACAGCUUGAGUUCAUUUUGCUACCUGAUAGGGUAAGUCCCCUCAUUCUUAUUUUCCCCAAUCUUCUUAGGUUUACUCUUUGAAUCAACUGGCCAGGUCCUUAAAACAAACCCCACUGGGAUUUUAACUGCAACUUCAAGCUUUACAGCAUUAGGUCUUCCCAUCCUGCAACUUGGUAACUCUCUCCACUUAAGCAUUCUUGAAGGUGGUCUUUUCUGUUCUUGAAGAUAGUUUUACAACUUUAUUAGACUUUGUACAUUUUCUUUUUCUUUGAGACGGAGUCUGGCUCUUGUCACCCAGGCUGGAGUGCAGUGGCGUGAUCUUGGUUCACUGCAACCUUUGCCUCCUAGGUUCAAGUGAUUCUCCUGCCUAAGGAGAUUACAGGCGUGUGACACCAUGCCCAGCUAAUUUUGUAUUUUUAGUAGCAAGGGGGUUUCACCAUGUUGGCCAGGCUGGUCACGAACUCCUGACCUCAGGUGAUCUGCCUGCCUCGGCCUCCCAAAGAGCUGGGAUUAUAGGCAUGAGCCACCGAACCGGGCCUGCUUUCUUGAAUCCAGGUCAACACCCUGUGCCUCUGCCUAUAUUACCCUGCCCUGCCCUGUCUGGGGGUCUGGCUAUCAUCUUUUAGGGUGAAGCCCAAAGUCACCUCGCUCUGAAGCCUUUCCCAAGCUUCCCAGGCAGAAGUCCUUACUCCCUCUGUGUGCUCCAAAAGCUCUUUGCAGAAACCCCUUCUACACAUGAUCAUGAAGUUGGCCCCAGGUAGACUGAGUUCCUAAGGUAGGGACUAUUAUUUAUUCUUUUUUUUUUUUUUUUUUUUUUUGAGACGGAGUCUCGCUCUGUCACCCAGGCUGGAGUGCAGUGGCAUGAUCUUGGCUCACUGCAACCUCCGCCUCCUGGGUUUAAGCGAUUCUUCUGCCUCAGCCUCCCAAGUAGCUGGGACUACAGGUGCAUGCCAACACGCCUGGCUGUUUGUAUUUUUAGUAGAGACAGGGUUUCACCAUAUUGGCCAGGCUGGUCUUGAACUCCUGACCUCAUGAUCUGCCCAUCUCCGCCUCCCAAAGUGGUGGGAUUACAGGCGUGAGCCACUGCACCUGGCCCAAGGUAGGGACUAUUCUAAUUAAAGGCACCUGGCACAAGGCCUGGUGUAAUCAUAGGUACUGAAUGAAUGAAUGAACGAACGAUGAAUGAAUGAACAAAUAAAUGGGCAGGAAAAACUGGACAAGAUGACACUGGUCAAAUUCUACUUUUCUCUUUCUCUUUUUUUUUUUUUUGAGAAAGAAGUAUCAUUAUGUUACCCAGGUAGGUCUUGAACUCCUGGGCUCAUGCUGUCCUCCCACCUCUGCCAAAGUGUUGGGAUUACAGGCGUGAGCCACCAUGCCCAGUCAAAAUUCUACUUUCCUCAUGAGAAUUCCUGCGUUUGGAAGUGACUGCUCCCUUCCCUGAAUUCUAAGGGCUCUUGCUGUCACCCACAGCACCUUCCAGCCUGAGGAACAGUGAUUUGCAGGCAACGUGUACCUCCUAGGCUGUCCCUGGAUUUGCAGAGAUGGAGUCUCGCUCUGUUGUCCAGGCUGGAGUGCCGUGGUUUGAUCUUGACUCACUGCAACCUCCGCCUCCCAGGCUCAAGCGAUUCUCCUACCUCAACCUCCUGAGUAGCUGGGAUUACAGCCUUAAAGCCCACUCUCAUCUUGCAAGCCUCUGAAGCCACCAGUUUUCUGAGAUGUUCCUCCCGGCCCCGGAGACCACGGAUGUGGCUACCUUCUCAGAAUAUAGAUGUUUCCAUUGCGGCAGGCCGCGGCAAGCCGGAACUCAACAUCAAACUGGCCGGAAACCUCUAGGAAGACGGGGACGCUGGGAAGGCUCAUCUGCAAAGAAGAAGCGCAAACACUCCAAUUUCUCUGGAGCCCCCGUCCCUCCCUGCCCUGUCAGUAACUCCUCUGAGUGAGUGCCUGGUCUAAAGUCCCAAUCUCCUCACUUACACCCAGUUUAAAUUCAUACAGUUUUUCAGGAGGGAAACUUGGGGCAACAUUUAGCAAAAGCCUUUUAGUCUGUGCCUUUUGACUAAACGAUGCCACUUCUAGGACUGCAUCCUAAGGAUGUACUUAAACAACCGUGCAGCUGGGUGUGGUGGCCCACACCUAUAAUCCCAAUACUUUGAGAGGCUGAGGCGGGUGGAUCGCUUGAGCUCAGGAGUUCGAGACCAGCCUGUCCAACAUGGCAAAACUUUGUCUCUACCAAAAGUACAAAACUUAGCUGGGCGUGGUGGUCCCACAGAUGAGAAGAUGAGGUGAGAGGACUGUUUGAGCCCAGGUGGCAUAGGUUGCAGUAAGCUGAGAUUGUACUACUGCACUUCAGCCUGGGCAAGAGAGCAAGACUGUCUCAAAAACAAACAAACAAGCAUGCAAGGAUAUUUGGGUAAAAAGGUCUAUAGCAUUGGUAUUAAUAGCAAAAAAUGAAAAACAGUUUAAAUGUACAAUAGGUGGCAGGGUAAAUAAAUUAUGGUACCUCAA